AGUAGCAUUCGAUAAUGUAAACAUAGUCCGUCUCCAAUAGCGGUGUAAGGGUGCUUUCAUUUCAUAGCUAACAUCAGUAUUUGCUACUAUUGGUGGUGGAUUUUUUAUGGGUCUUUAGCUUGGUUUUGCAUUAAUGAAAGCAAUUAAACUAACAGCAGCAACGGUCAUCAGAUUAUUCAUAACGAGAAUUG
rnacentral:misc_RNA from 1 species